GGGUGAAGCGAACUGAGGAGAGAGACCUUUGCAAUAACUGGGUGAUAUUCAUGAAUUAUGAGAUGUUACAUUCUUCUGUUGUGGCCAGAAAACUAUAAAGAAAUGUUGAAACUCAAUGUUCCUGACUGACAGGUUUCUAAUAACUUCUACAAGGCUGCUGUCUCUCAUUUCAGUCCGAGCACUGUGCCAUUCAAGGAACAGGGGAAGGUUUGCUCGUCAUCAUUCCGAAUAACUGCUACAGUAAUUCAUCCUCCUCACACGCCAGGGGUUAUGCAGCUGUUGUCGCUUUAGAGGUGUUUAAAUUUCAGCAGCUUGUGUUUUUAUUUUGGGAUAUUUUCUGUGUAUUUGAAAUGAAAGUGCUAUUAUCAUUAAAUAUUGCCCACCGUUUGGGUGACACCGUGGAGAAUAAAACUGUAGUUUGAAACAGAGUUGAUAUAAUUGCUUCAGUAAAAAGAAAAACAUUAGCUGGGAAAGGCAGAGCUCUCGCAAGGCAUCUUUUAGACAUCAAGUAUGAUAAUCUAUUCAUUUUUUAUAUUUACUAGAAAAUAGAGAUUGACAAGUUGUCACUGAUUUGAGAGAACAAGCUGAGCCUUCUUUUUAAGGUGCAAAAUUCUGAGCAUGUUUAAGAUUUAAAUGUAGCCUUAUAAGGAUAAAACCACCAUGAGAGAAAGUAUUUUCUUAAUUCGAUGUCAAUUCAAUUCAAUUUCAAUUCAUUUUAUUUUGUAUAGCCCAAAAUCCCAAAUCCCAAAUUUGCCUCAGAGGGCUUUACAGUCUGUACACAUACGACAUCCUCUGUCCCGAAACCCACCAUCGGCACAGGAAAAACUCCCCAAAGAAAUGAAAAAACCCUUCCAAGAGGGAAAAAAGGGAAGAAACCUUAGGGAGAACGUCAGAAGAGGGAUCCCACUCCCGGGAUGGACAGACUACAAUGGAUGCCAUGUGUACAGAAUGAACAAUGUAUAAUACAUGCAAUUCCUAUGACAGAAAUGAUUCAAGUAAUUGUGAGUAGUAAGCCAGGCGCACAGCAGGACCACUGCAGGGGCCACCACCAUCAGACAGAACCACCAUCAGACAGAACCACCAUCAGACAGAACCACCAUCAGAUAGAACCACCAUCAGACAGAACCACCAUCAGAUAGAACCACCGUCAGACAGAACCACCAUCAGAUAGAACCACCGUCAGACAGAACCACCAUCAGACAGAACCACCAUCAGAUAGAACCACCGUCAGACAGAACCACCAUCAGAUAGAACCACCGUCAGACAGAACCACCAUCAGACAGAACCACCAUCAGAUAGAACCACCGUCAGACAGAACCACUAUCAGACAGAACCACCAUCAGAUAGAACCACCGUCAGACAGAACCACCAUCAGACAGAACCACCAUCAGAUAGAACCACCAUCAGACAGAACCACCAUCAGACAGAACCACCAUCAGAUAGAACCACCGUCAGACAGAACCACCAUCAGAUAGAACCACCAUCAGACAGAACCACCAUCAGACAGAACCACCAUCCACAGAAGCCUGUGGGGAGGGAGAGCACAGAGACUUUAGGAGAGGGUAAUGUUGGUCUGUGAUUACAGUAAUAUGAUUAAUAUCUAAAAUAAUAAUGAUGAUGAUGAUGGCAGCAGCAGCAUCUUGUUCAUGUCUCUUACACAUUAAAAUCCAUAUACCAGCGCCUAACAUUUUAGAUUUAGUUAAAAUAUAUUUAGUUUAGAUAAUUUUUGUAAUUUUGGUUUUUGAUGAAUAAAUAUUUUAUUAUUUCCUUGAUAGCAAAAACAUUUUGUGUUUUUUUUGUGUUUUCUUAAACAAUUUCUCAAUAAUGACGAUCAUUUGAUCCACUAUCCCAUAAGCAGGAGAUUCUCACGGAGCAUUUCACAAAUUCAAAUAAAAAGCCUCCCUUUGCAUCAGUGACGUGUACGAGUGGAGACAUAUGGAUCAAAUAAACAUUGGACCUCCCUCCAGGAGACCGGUGUCCAUGUCCCUCGCAAAACUAAAAGAAAGCGCUUCGCCACCUUAUUCGAUCGUGUCGUUGGUCACUGCGUUCUGAAAAUCAAGAACUUUGUGCACAAUAACGGUCACGUGGACAGUUUAUUGAACACCAUCGAUGAUUCAAACUUCUAAUUUGUCCACUCAAAGGAGCGUUCCACACUUUCUAGAUGGAGCAUCAUUGCUCAGGAAGAUGACCGCCUGGUUUAAAAAGAUCCAACUUAGGCCUCAAAACAAAUACUACUUAGGUGUAGAUUCACAAACACACACAUACACACACACACACACACACACACACACACAGACGUUUCUAUAGGGCUGUUGUUGCCGUGAGCAAUUACAGCUCCUUAUCUAACCGUGAGGAUAAUGAGGUUACGCAGAGAGCGAAUUCUAUCAUGUCGGCAUAAUGAGAUUUGGGCCUGUGUCUCGCGUCGUGGGGUCGAGGACAGAGACGGGGACAGGGCCACAAACCACUACACACACACACAAACACAGACACACAGCUUCCUUAUCUGCCCCACCUCGCAUCUCUGUCUGACAUUCAGGGGAAAUUGCAUUCAGGCUCAGUGUGUGAUGCAGUGUGUGAAUGACUGAGGCUCUCCCACUCUUCCUCUCUCCCCGUCCCCCACCAUACCAGAAACCCCUCCCGCCCCCCCUUCAUGUUCUCCAACCACCCCACCCCCCACUGCUGACAGGCAGGUUUGAUUUAUGGCUCCAAUUCCCCAGCGCAGACACAUAGACGCAGGCCACACUCCCAACUGUAUGUAUGUAUUUUAGUUUCUCCCACAAGUCUCUCACCCUCACUUCUCUCUCUCUCACUCUCCCUCUAUCUUUAGCUCCGUCUCUAUCUGUUUCUCUGUUCUCUCUCUCUCUCUGCCACACGCACAAACACACACACAUCUCACACACACAUCUCACACACACAUCCUGGGUGUGGUGAUUGAUUAUCCCAGCAGGACUGUCUGGUGUAUUUUUGAUCCUUUUGAAAUGUAAUCUCUUUGAGCAGUACAGUGUCUCGUCACACACACACAAACUCAGGAGGUGGAAGCAAAAUGAGAACGUCGUGGAAAGGCAGUGCAAGGAUUUUUUGUUAUCAUAUUUCAAGUUGAAUACACAAACAACUUAAUCAAAAGUUGGAGGGACAAAAUAGGAACGGAGCAACUUGCAGUGCAGAUUGACAUUGCAAUGGCGGCCUGGGAUCGGGAUCCCAGGAGCAAAGCGGAAUCUGGACCUGGAAACGUGAACAACACAAUGUCUUUCCUCAUCCUCCGACUAGCAAACAACGCAAAUGCCCCCCUGGGGCUGCUCAGUGGUCAGAACUGUGUGAUUCAAGCCCAAAGUGCGUUGGUCCAUCACGAAAGUGUCCAUUCUGCAAUACUGCAGUUCUACAAUGUACUAUUGACUAUGGAGCGCUGACAUGAGUUUUGCUGCUCGGUUGGCACACUGGCUGAUAAUUGUUUGUUUGCAUAACCACAAUAACUGGAAAGGUUCAGGCUAACACUCAUUGGGAACUAGAAUAAGAACUAGUAGGAUUUUCUGAUUGAGGGCAACCUACCUGAACUGCGUUUGCUGUUAUGCUACUACUGCUCCUAUUGUUAGCGCAACCAUUAACGUAAAAGGUCCUCUUCAAAGUAUCUCAUCCAUGUAAAACUCGAUCUUUAUGGUUUGUCUAACGGAUGAACCCUUUAUCCACUGGUGCAGGCUUUUUUCCUGAGUGAAAAAAGGAGGACAGUGAAAGAGGAGAAGAAGAUAAAUUCCAUUUCUAACAAACUGUUUCCGUUAUAAUUUAAGGCUGCAGACACACACAGACAAACUGGGAUGUGCCUCAGCUCUCUCUCUCCAUAUAUAAAUAAAAUGAUAGAGCACUGAGUGUGUAUUCCUGCUCUGAAACACGCAUCGAUGGCUGAUCUUUAUUUAUUCCCCCAGGUGAUCGAUCGAAGGCGGGCACUCAUUCAUAAUGGGCCUUAUAUCUGUCUGUCUGUCAACGGGAGACUGGAACCACAAAGCGAUGUCCAUGGAUCAAACACAAAAAGGACCAUUAGACACAACCUUAUCAAUACUGCAGAGGAACUACUUUUCUUCCUCUCUCGGGGGAAAGAUCUGCUGGCUGUCCAAUUAGUAACAGCUUAAGCCAUUGAUGAAGUUUGGCGAGGCUUCAGCAACAGAAUUGGUUUUAUUUUUUCAUUAUUUACUAUGUGUGUAUUUUUACUGGUUUCUAGUUAAAACAUUUUUUACAUGAAUGUGAGAAAUUUACAGUCAAAUAUGAAGAUUAUAAGAUAUCAGAGUUAUUUCUCUCACCAUAGUAGUUUAGUUAAAUUUGGUGCAUUUUUGCACAACUAUCAGUCAGCGGUUGGCUUUUUUGAAUGACAAACCAGUGAAGUGCCGCCCCUUGUUUGCUCGCAGCAUGUAGCCAGAUCGUGCACAUUGCACCUUCAAGGACCAUCUGUAAAAAGCCAAACCGAUCUGAACAGAAUCGGAUCAAGGAUAUUCUAAAUUCAAAAUGAUGGUGGCCCAACUCUAACAGAGCCACUUACACAGCCCCGACCAAAGUGGUUUGACCUGAGCAAGGAACUGGGUUGCAUUGCUGAAAAAAAAAUCUGCAAAUACAACUUCAUUUACCAACCGUGAAUCACGAAAGCCUCGUUACUGUAAAGACAUUUUUGACAGCGGAUUGACAUACAAAAUACAUGUGCAUGAGCAUGUUAUGCAGACACCCAAUAGACCAUAAACAAAGCGGCAUGUGCCUCCGCUGUCUGACUCUGGACUAUAUAUAUAUACGGCUCUUCAGAAACCGAUGAGAGCCAGAAACCACUGCUCUUUAAAUGGAAAUGUGGUUGCCAAGAAUGUCACGGUCGCUGCAUUUUAAAAGCAGUAGGUGCAAGUUUCGAAAAUUACCAGAAAACAUGCAAGACCGCACUGAUUAUACGCUUCAGCGCCAUCAAACAUUCUCAUUUUCUCACUCUUGAAUGCCGGUGGUCUUCCAUCACUCAACACGGCGUGCUGAACAUAUGACACGAGGCCCCGGAGAAAAUGAUUUAUGAGGGACACAUGGGAGAUUUCUGUGUUUUAGCCUGUGCAGCGAAUCCCUUCGGUGUAUUCUUUUAACGUUCCCAAACACCCAGACGCUUAGCCGUAUCCUCAAAGGCCGCAGCAGUUGUGUUUGUGUGUCCGUCGGAUCCUGUGAUCUCCAGAGACGGACGGAUUGAGACGGUGAUAACGCACACAGAGGAGCAGACUGUCACACCACAGAUAUGCGGACCGUACAUAAUCUCACAGUCUCACGUUGGGCCGGUUGACCGCAGCUAAACGCGGACACACACUUUCCCAUGGUGCACUAUGUCGGAGGGAAACUCCCCUAGGGGAGCUAGCACAUCGAGGUCGAAUGUGUGUGAGUAUUUGAUGGGACCACUUUGAAUGUCACACAGGGAAUCAACCAAACCAAACGACUUCCAUCAUGUUUAACUGACGGAUCGGCAAUCGGCCUUCACAGGGAGGAAGAAGCAGGAAACGAGUAUUUAUUAUUACUCAAGAGAGGAAAGUGAAGUGAACGUGAAAGCUGUGGUAAGAUGGGGAAUCAGUAGUGUGUGCGGUGUGUGUAGCUGGUCCGUUGCAGGGCUGGUAUCUCAGGAAGGACGAGGAGCAUGAUUCAAAUGUUCAUACCUUCACUUUGAAAGAGAAGCAUUGCAGCGGUUUAGAGUGUCGCCGCUAUGGAUGUGUAAGUGGUGCCUUCACAGUCCCCAGGCUACUGUGGGGAAUUAGAGCUGCAACCUUUGAACCCUUACCUAAACAUUCUUUCAUUUAGCCAAAUCACAUCAACAGUUCCGGGGUUUUCGGCGAUGACAGAAGACUAAGGGAUGUUUUUCUUUUUUUUAACCAUUAAGUCAGUUUAAAUAAAUGAGCCGGGCAGAUAAACCAGAAUUAGCUCUUUGUAAGGACUGAAAUUGCAGCAAUGCCAAAGAUUGGGUAGUUUGACAACAGUAUCUCCUUAACUUUACACAAGAGAGCAUUGACUACAUCUAAAUGUCCGGCUCACUGCAAAUCGUGUUCAAAAGAUAGAAGAGGAUACUUAAAAUGUUUGUAUUAAUGUAAAAGGACUAUCAGCGGAUUUAGAUCCAAUACUUCACCUCUCAUAUCUGCCUGGGCCCUAUAAUUUCAGUGAUUUAGGUGAGCUGACGCUAUAAGAGCUAUAAGAGCUUCGGCCGCUUGCUCUUUAACUCUCUUCCUGCCUCGUCUCCCUUCUCUCCACCUCCUUCGCCCCCAGCCAUCCGUCUCCAGACUUGGCCAGUCAGUGGCAGCUCCAUUGAUAGGGUAAUCCAGGCCUGAUUAAUGACCCAAUAAUCAGAGGGGUCCUCAGAUCAAUCAUGGAGCGUGAUCAAUAACCCCCGGCCAAGGCGAUCAUUAGCCUGCUAGAGUGCAUCCUCUAUUAGACCCGCGGACCAAAACAAAAGAUGUAAAAGAAAGAGAGGCGAUACGGGGGUGAAGGAUGGAGGCAGUGUGAGAUGUUAAGAGCAGCUUCUCCUGGGCUGUGAUGGAAAGUUUAGCAAACGGGGAAUCGUUGCAUUCAUGUCCACGCUUGUGUAGGUAAGAGGUAGGAGGUAGGAGGUAGGCAAGAGGAGGUAAGGAAGGACAAUUGCGCGCUACACAAACAAAGUGACAUUACAGCACUACAAGUGGACAAAGAGUGUCUCAGCACCUGUGAAGGUAGAAUAAUGUGUCUGUGAGUGUAAAAAUGUGCAUGCAUGUAUAAUCUGUGUGUGUGUGUAGGUGCUCCUCGGUGUAUUAGUGUGUGUGUGUGUGUGUGUGUGUGUGUGUGUGUGUGUGUGUGUGUGUCAGGGGGUGUGAUGGCGCCUGAUUUAUGGGUUGUGUCCCCCUGUGCCAGCUUUCUGUCUGCUCCCGCAUGGAGGAUGAAUGGACCUCUGUCAUUCCAGCCAGACCUCUCCCCCCACCUCCCUCUGCCCAAACCCCCCCACUCACGACUCCGUCCCUCUACUUCUGCUUUCCCCCUCCCAAUCCAGUCGCCUCUUUCCCAAAUAGCAUUUUGUAAUUGCCCGCAAAUGCGUUUAGAAGCAACUGUUUACUUGUUGCUAUAAAUGUUCUCCCCUGCAGCUGAUAUGGGUGAAUGAGCUGUCGCUGAGCAGAGCUUCAGCUCCAUUAGAACAAGCCAGUCUGUUGUCAGAGGCUCAGACCGGGUCGUCCCGUGUCCGAGGCAAAGAAAACAUUCAGCUGUGAGAAAGCGUCAGAGAAAACUCUACUUCUUCUAUCUUAGGCUCUUGGUUCGGACGUCAUUUCCAUCAGCUAUAAUGAGCAAUGAGAUCAGUGUCUUAAAGUUGUCGGAUGUCUUUAUAUGAGGUAUUUCUUAUCUGCCACCUUCAUAGUUUGAUAACUGUAACGGUUAAACACUAUCUUUUAAUUAAAAAAAUAGGGCCAAAUAUCUAAAGUUGUUUUUAAGAGGAGGACAGUCUUUCUGUGGUCAGUGCCACACCAUCCGAGUGUGUUUCAUGUGUUUUACCGUGUCUGAGAAGAAAAACAUCGUCACAGAGACAGACAGGUAAAGCUGAGGCUAGAGACCAGCUGUUUGUUCGUGGGAGUGUGUUUGUGUGUGUGUGUGUGUGUGUGAGAGAGUGAGUAUAUUUACAUGUUGUGUGUAUGUGACCUACUCAAUGUAAUGUGCUACACACAGUAAUACAGUGCAUGCAUACUUCUGCAUGUUUUAGUACACGUCAACUUGUACACUAUAUCUUUACACAUUCAUUCAUAUCAUGCGUGCAUGUGUCUGUGUGUAUUCCUACGGGAAUGUGUUUGUCAGUCUGUGUGUGUGUGUGUGUGUGUGUGUUCCACUGCUCUCUGAUGUGGCAGCCUGCUGUGUGUACUCAUUUAUGUGUAAUGAAUGCUUAUGAGGGUAAACAGAUGGUGUGUUAACAUGGUAAAAUAUGAUCUGCUGCCAGACAAUAUGGUGGCACGCUGGUGUUUACAACACACACAUUACACCCCGGGACAGCGCAGCAGCUUCAGAGCCGCCUGGCUUUCCUUCACGCAUCCAAAUGGGAUGAAACGAUGUUCCACAUACUUACAUAAGUUAUUUGUCUUUUCUGUUUUAGGCUGCACUGUGGCAAAAGUUAGAUCAAUUAAUUAAACAGGAUGUGCAGAGACGGACACGUGAAAAAAAAAAUACCUGCAUCAACGGACCUUCUCAGCCACCUGGGGGCAGCGCAACGAGCUGCAAACUCAGCGACUGCUGUAACGGCACCACGAUCGGAUGUGGAACAGAGAAACACUUCUCUAUGUACACAACCACUAUCAGUCUUUGUUGUUGUGUUGUUGACCGCAGUGUAACCCUUUAGCCUCAGUUUUAGUCUCCACCAACUGUUGAUGGCACUGUUUGUUUCUCAAUCAUUACGACGGAGCUUCCCAGUUUUCACCAAUUGGCUGGCAACUUUGUUGCCCGCUGUUGCUGAGUAGACAGCAGGGAGUCGGUUGCUCUGAAACAAACAGCCUACUGCAACAGAAAUUGAACAAUGUUUUUAAACCAAACAAUACGCUGAAUGAUGCUAAAACGCUCUUUAAAGCUGAGUGGAACUAAAUUGUUUGGUACAAACUCUCUUUUGGUUUAUCACUUUUCACCCGUCACAUUUGUUGGAGUUAAACACGACGAUGCAUAAAGGUUUUUACUUCAUUAAAAACCACGGAUGGAUGAAACUAAAUUGGGAUGGAAAAUAUGGGCCCAGACCUAGACUUGUGUUCAUAUGUGAGCAUGACUCUUCAAACUUCAUUGGAUAAAGGUUGAAAUGUCAAAAAAGAAGCCCGACUAAAGAGGGAACAAACUCCGGGAUGACACACACAAACAAACACACACACACACAUACACAUACACUGAGGUAAUGACAGAUGGCUCUGCCCACUCCUUUGCCUUUCCAUUGCUAGCCUAAUAUUCCCACCAUUAUUCUCUUUUAUAUGCAACUUCUUUCCAUUCGGACUUCGCUGCUGCUCCACAGUGCCACUGAAAGGCAAAAGGGCAGCAGCCUCUCAGUUGUAUUUUGCAUUUGCGUGGCUUUCCAGCAGUUCAUCCAGGAUUACAUGUUGCAAAUUCCCUUGAAUGAUAUACAACGUAUAUAUACAUUGCAGCACAAGUCAGUCAUUUUAUAAAAAAGCACACUCAGAGAUCAGAAAUAUGGAAUGCAUAAAAUAAAAUGGAUCCUAACAUAGAGCACAGUAGGAUACUGACGAUAGUACAAUAUUAGCAUCAAUAAAUAAUUAGGGUAGGGUUCUCAGGACAAUCUAGAAAUCUAAAUAUAUUCCCAGCACCUGGGUCCAAUCUAAAAAGUUGGACCAUUAACGAUUCCUGCUCAGUAUCCCUGCCGAGCUUUUCAGAUAAGUCCGAUCGUCUUUCCGUAUCGUCAUGAAAUCUAAGCUAACAGAACUGACAUAAAAAGCCUGAGUUUUUUUUUUUGUAUCUUUCUUCAAAGACUCGUAACACUACUCAUGUUGCAAAAAGCUCGACCCACACAUCCCGAUUGGUUUUGAGGGAGCGACGCGGCCUCACCUUGUUUAACCCCAGUCCAGCGGCACGUAGCUCCUGGGAGGCCAGCCGGGCCGAACACCAGCCCGUCACACCACGAUUGGGUCUAAAAGCUGUUUGUCUUUGAGAGUGGAGAUUCUUUUAUGUUACCGUGGUGCCAGAGAGGCAACAGGGGACGGCUGUUUACCGUAACUUAAAACAGAAAAAACAGCAUGACUACACAGGCUUGGCUGGGCCCAACAGGCCUCUAUUGACGAAGGCCAACCCACAACCGGCACGGCCUGGAUCCUGUCAGCAAACACGCCGACAGUGAGGGCCGACGGGGACGCACACAUCAACGCGCGCGCACACUCAGCCACCACACAAUCCGGAGCAAUCUCACCCCAUGUAGCAUUUUACUGUGCAAUCAUCAAGGCACCAUUAAAUCAGAAGUGACUGCCAAUAAAGGCAGGAAAUUGCGGGCAAAGGAUUACGAUGUUUGCAUGAUAAGGGGUGUGUGUGUGUGCGUGUGUGUGUGGGGGGGCAGAGGGACGUAAUCGGGGGGUGCAGGGGGGGCGUCACAAGAUUUAUGUAGCAUUUACUGUUGAGCAAGUCGUAAAGUGUGAUUACAGGGAGGGGGGUCGACGCACCGAGGAGCCACAGCCCCAGCGGGCGGACCGGCGGGAAGGCGAGGAGACGAGUGACCGAGGCCCUUCCCACCCCCCCCCCCACACCGUCCCUCCGUUUGUCCCUCCGUCUCUCUCCUUUCAUCCGCCUGUCUUCAUGGGAACCGCUCAGUGUGGGCGGCGACCGAGCGACCGACAUUCCAACUGAGAAGACACAAACAGAGAGCGCGGCCGGGAGACAGAGGAUGAAAUUUGGAUUCUGAACUGCUUCUUUUUCGGGGGGGGGCGGGGGGGGGGG
ensembl:lncRNA